UUUUUAAAUUAAUUUGUGCGCGAAUUUAUAUGUGAGCCAGAUCUAGUCUUGGCUCAGAGCGACGACAACCAUGGCUGACGAGUUCGAAUUCGCGGACAAGGUCCCUUCUUCGUUCGAUCGCAGAGAGGUCCUCUCAUCAUCUUUCUCAUCUCUCUCUCUUCAGUCUCUGUCUAUUUGGUUUUGAUCCUUUCUUCACAUUUAUUACCUUCACAGAAUUGGGAGGGAAUCGAGUCUCCUGGUCUCACAUUUCUCGUCCAAGCUCUCGCUCUUGAUGCUCGCCUUUACUUUUGCUUCUGCACUCUUCAAUUGUUAGUUUCUCUCUCUCUCUCUCUAGGUACACACCUCAGCAGAUUGUGUGUCUUUAGCAUUAUCAGGGACAUUGUUCGCGUGGUCAAAGCCUGCUUUGGUAUUAUUGAUCGCUAAUUGUUUAAUUUGAGGUUUGUUCAGAUUGCUCUAUCAAUCAAUGAUCUUUGUCGAUUUUCAGGUCGUCAGUGAAAUAAACAGAGGACCAAGCUCUGGAAAUAACAUGUGAGUACUUCUUUCUUGCACGCACUGCAUUGGAGUUUCCCUUUUAAUUACAAUUGGCUAAAUUGUUUUAUCAUUGAAUAUUCGUAUGAUUUUUGAAUUUAGUGGAUAUUAUACAAUUGUCUGUGCUUUUUGGUUUGUUGAUUUGUUAUUGUGGCUUCAGCUUGAUCAGAAUUGCACUACAGUUUCUGAUUGUUUAAGUUGAAUUGAUUCAGCCCCAAUGAUGAUUGGAUUUUAGGAAGAAGUCUGUCUGUUUUUGAAGCUAUAUGUUCUUUUGACUUAGUUCUAGUACUUUGAUCAUGGCUUUUGACUUUUUGUUGCCUUACAGUUUUGUUGGAGUUAGUUUCUGUUUGGUGCAGUUUUGCACAAAAUGCAUUGCAGUUUUACACACACUGCAUUGCAGUUUCCAUUUAAUUACAUUUGGCUAAAUUGUUUUAUCAUUGAAUAUCUUAAGAUAGAUAGUUUAUAAGCUCUUUGGUAUCCCUCCCUUACAAACUGGCUUUUGGGACUAAUCUUAUCUAACCAUGAGUGGUGACAUGUGGUAUAAUUGGUGAACCUUAGACUUACAUUGAGAUUGAAUUGCCAAUAUAGGUUUAGGUGGCCUUGUUGUCCAAAUAAUUGCUAGAUAAAUAGAAAUUAUAGACAAAUUGGCAGUCUCAAUUUAACUGUAGAAUGGUACCACUUGCCACUUAUCAAUAUGUGUUGUAUAUUCUUUUGCCUUUUAAUCUUUUGAUAAAUUUAAGUUCAAAACUUUUCUUUGUUCUGGUCUCUUUUCCUUCAUUUCCUUCAUCAUUUCUUUCUUCAUCUCCUCCUUCUGCUUCUGCUUCUUCUUUUUCAUCUCAUUCUCCUUCAUUCUCCUUCAUCUGAUUGUGUAAUUUUGAAGUUUUUUUAUUACAUUGUAAAAUAACACCUUACUUUUCGGACAUUGACCUCAAGUAAAUUAGGUGAAAUUAGCUUCCUAUCUAUCACAAUAAGGAACUCCCUUUUGAUUUUAAACCAAAGCUCCCUUUAUACAUAAUUCACUUUUUUAUUAUAAAAUUAUAUUUUAAAUUAUUCUAAUUUAUAGAGAGGGGUAUUCGAACUUGGAUGAUCAGAAGAAGAUUAUGCACUAAGGCCUCGUUUGGUAUACAUGAUUUUCUUCGCAUGGACUAUACUUAAGGAUUGUCAUGAAUUGGCUUGGCUUGGUCUAAGCUGGAUAAAACUUGUCCUCUAUUUGGUGUAUAUUGGACUAGGACUACAUUUUUUUUUUUAAAAUGUUUAAGUGAUAUAAUAUUUUUCUUAUAGUAUAUGUAGUGAUUUUUAUAAGUGAUUUUAUUUUUAAAUAUAUGUAAUAUUUUUAAAUAUUUCAAUUAAUUUCAUAAAUUACCUCUUAUACUUGGACUAGGACUAGGAUGACGUUGAUUUCUAAAUGACUUCAUUGUUUAGGUAAUAUUCUUAUUGCUAAUAUUUUUAGAUUUUUUUUCUCUAUCCCUCUUAUAUUUUCACGAUUUUAGCAGUGAUCAUUCCUUACUCUCAAUGUCUCAAUCUCACACACACACACACCCCUAUAUGUGUAUGUAUGUAAUUGAUUAAUUGUUGUUGAGUGAGUCCUUGUUCUCCAGAUUAAUUACACACACCCCCCUAUAUAUGUAUGUAAUUUAGGUACUAAUUGUGCUUUAUAUCUCAGAUCUGAUGAUUUGUGUGUGUCUUGGAACUUUCUCUUCAUUGCUGUUUUAUUUUUAGGCUUUCUAUUUUGAAGGGCUUUUACUUUGAUUAUCUGUGUCUCUCCUUUUGGCUGUUUAUGACUUGCUUUAAAUUGUGGGUUAAGAUAGAUUUCCUUUAUUUUUUAUUCUUUUCAGUUAGCUUGGCACAUAAGCUCCAUGUUUUGCGUAUCUCAUAUCAUCUCCAUGUUUGUUGAACAUUAUGUUAAAGUAGCAUUUCAUCGGUAUUACUUGAUGACAAUUGUUAUUUUGCAGCUUUGCCACCUCUGAGUGUGCCGGAAAUUGUUAUUUUUACAGCGUUGACUUGUAUAACUAUUAAUAUAUAGGGUGGUUCACAAGGUUUGGGUCAGAAAUGUUUGCAUGUUUUUUAGUAAUUUUGAUCAAGUUUUCCCCUUUUUGUAUUUUAUGUGCAGCUCUUUUGAACUAUAAGUUGGGGCAGAGUAUUUCUUUUACUUGAUCAAACAAGUCUCUUCCAGGAAUUGCAGAAAGAAGAAGAAGGUAAUGGCUCUAAGCCUAGGAUAUUGUAUUCAAACCCUACGAUAUUGUAUAAUAAAGUCUGGGAUUCUAUAUUGAACUUGGUGUUCUAAUAUAAUUACGUGGCUGAAAAUCUAUUUUUCUGCAUAAAGUACUGACUUGAAUUUUGAAUGGCAUGAUAUUUGUGUUAGUAAUAAUUGUUAAUAGCAGUACAAAGUUCAUUUCAGUUAAGUUGAGUUGUUCUGCCAAUAAAAAUGAGUCCCAGAAAAUUUGCAAUCAACUCAACUUAGCUGAAUUGAGUUCUCAUAGUAUUCAAGUUUCUUCAUCACAUUCAAUUCAGUCCUUAGUUGGCUUUUAGGACGAAGUAAAAGAGAUUUGGAAUCUUGUUUGUUAUGAACUUAUGUUGUUUUCCUGCAGUUUCUUGAAAACAAAUUAACAGGUAAUUUGAUUUUAAUCGCAUAAUUUUUUGUUGGGUGCUUUUUUUUUUAAUGGAGCAGUGGAGGCAUUGAAAGAGAUAAGGAAAAAGCUGAUGAAGAAAGACUGGGAUUUUGGGGAAAGAUACAGGAGAAGGGCAUUGGACUAUAUCGAUUGAAUGAAGGAGGAUGAAAGGCUUCGAGAGCUUUGUCAUAUGUGACUGCACCUUCAACCACCAUUCAGUUAAAGACAAUUUACUUUCAUUAAACUUCUCA
rnacentral:lncRNA from 1 species